rnacentral:rRNA from 1 species
UACGUAGGGGGCGAGCGUUAUCCGGAUUUAUUGGGUGUAAAGGGUGCGUAGACGGCUUUGCAAGUUGGUUGUGAAAUCCCUCGGCUCAACUGAGGAACUGCAACCAAAACUGUAGAGCUUGAGUGCGGGAGAGGAAAGCGGAAUUCCUAGUGUAGCGGUGAAAUGCGUAGAUAUUAGGAGGAACACCAGUGGCGAAGGCGGCUUUCUGGACCGUAACUGACGUUGAGGCACGAAAGUGUGGGGAG